GACGAACGCUGGCGGCGUGCUUAACACAUGCAAGUCGUACGGUAAGGCCCUUUCGGGGGUACCCGAGUGGCGUACGGGUGAGUAACACGUGAGUAACCUGCCCACAACUUUGGGAUAACGCUAGGAAACUGGUGCUAAUACUGGAUAUGUGCUCCUGCUGCAUGGUGGGGGUUGGAAAGCUCCGGCGGUUGUGGAUGGACUCGCGGCCUAUCAGCUUGUUGGUGGGGUAGUGGCCUACCAAGGCGGCGACGGGUAGCCGGCCUGAGAGGGUGACCGGCCACAGUGGGACUGAGAUACGGCCCAGACUCCUACGGGAGGCAGCAGUGGGGAAUAUUGAACAAUGGGCGCAAGCCGGAUGCAGCACCGCCGCGUGCGGGAUGACGGUCUUGGGGUUGGAAACCGCUUGCAGCAGGGACGAAGCUUUUUGUGGCGGUACCUGCAGAAGAAGCACCGGCUAACUACGUG
rnacentral:rRNA from 1 species